UACGUAGGGGGCUAGCGUUGUCCGGAAUCAUUGGGCGUAAAGAGCGUGUAGGCGGCCCGGUAAGUCCGCUGUAAAAGUCAAAGGCUCAACCUCUGAAUGCGGGUGGAUACUGCUGGGCUAGAGUCCGGAAGAGGCGAGUGGAAUUCCUGGUGUAGCGGUGAAAUGCGCAGAGUAUCAGGAGGAACACCGAUGGCGAAGGCAGGUCUCUGGGCCAUAACUGACGCUGAGAAGCGAAAGCAUGGGGAGCGAACAGG
rnacentral:rRNA from 1 species